rnacentral:rRNA from 1 species
AAUUCCAAUUGGGUCAGGUUGUGCUGGCUGAAAAGCAAGUGCACGCCUGCUCAUAAGCAUUCAAACCUCUGUGCACCUUUCAUAGAAUAGCUUGUAGAUUGGGUGACCUGUGUCACUUGGUUUGCAGCUGCUCUGUGUUUUUACAAACUUAUAAAUCAGUUCAGAAUGUUUAUUGUGUAAAUACACAUUUUUAUACAACUUUCAGCAACGGAUCUCUUGGCUCUCGCAUCGAUGAAGAACGCAGCGAAAUGCGAUAAGUAAUGUGAAUUGCAGAAUUCAGUGAAUCAUCGAAUCUUUGAACGCACCUUGCGCUCCUUGGUAUUCCGAGGAGCAUGCCUGUUUGAGUGUCAUGGUAUUCUCAAUUCUCCAGGUCUUUGUAAGACUCUGGUGAUAUUGGAUUUGGAGGCUAUUGCUGGAACCUUGCAGGUACCUGCUCCUCUCAAAUGUAUCAGUAUGAAUGUUCACUUCAUGCUCAGUGUGAUAAUUAUCUGCACUGUGUCUGAGUGUCAUAGAUUCAUGCUUCAAACUGUCGUCAAGACAAUUCAUUUGACUUCUGACCUCAAAUCAGGUAGGACUACCCGCUGAACUUAAGCAUAUCAAUAAGCGGAGGAAAAGAAACUAACAAGGAUUCCCCUAGUAACUGCGAGUGAAGCGGGAAAAGCUCAAAUUUAAAAUCUGGCAGUCUUUGGCUGUCCGAGUUGUAAUCUGGAGAAGUGCUUUCCGUGCUGGACCGUGUACAAGUCUCUUGGAAUAGAGCGUCAUAGAGGGUGAGAAUCCCGUCUUUGACACGGACUACCAGUGCUUUGUGAUGCGCUUUCAAAGAGU